UGGGGAAUAUUGGACAAUGGGCGAAAGCCUGAUCCAGCAAUGCCGCGUGUGUGAUGAGGGCCUUCGGGUUGUAAAGCACUUUCGCACGCGACGACGAUGACGGUAGCGUGAGAAGAAGCCCCGGCUAACUUCGUGCCAGCAGCCGCGGUAAUACGAAGGGGGCUAGCGUUGUUCGGAAUUACUGGGCGUAAAGGGCGCGUAGGCGGCCCAUCAAGUCAGGCGUGAAAGCCCCGGGCUCAACCUGGGAAUUGCGCUUGAGACUGGUGAGCUAGAGUUCGGGAGAGGUGAGUGGAAUUCCCAGUGUAGAGGUGAAAUUCGUAGAUAUUGGGAAGAACACCGGUGGCGAAGGCGGCUCACUGGACCGAUACUGACGCUGAGGCGCGAAAGCGUGGGAAGCAAGCAGG
rnacentral:rRNA from 1 species